rnacentral:lncRNA from 7 species
CCCAUGGCACGCAUUGGCGCUAGUUCUCCCUGACGCAUGGGGCCCUCGCCAGCGCUGUUCCUCUUCUUGGCCGAACAUCACGGCAUGAUGGUUGUGCCAACCGGGAUUUCAGCUGGAGGCCGGUGGGGCUGCCCAUAAAAUUGCCGCCGCGCAGGUCACCUCGUCCUUCCGUGCGCCACAAUCAAGCAUUGGAGCUCAGGGUUGCCAACAAAUCGUGAGGGCGUAUGAGGGUCUAGAGCGUAGGGAGCCGCCGUGUGUGAACUCCGACUCGUCGUUAGCCGGGUCCUCGGUGUGGUGCCCUUGGGCUUCCUCUGGCUUGGGGGAAGGUAGAUGAAGCCGGGCCGCUUGAAAUUCAUUGCCAGCACCGACUGAAUUGCUCGUCGAUCAAAUCCCGUCGCGGACCGCAAGCUCCCGCGGCCGGGUCCGCCCACGCGUCUAGCCGUGAAGGACAAGAAGGAUUUCACAUCUUGGAAUCCUACAACUACAAACUCCCUAAAAGAGAUAGGAGACCUAAGACAA